GAUGAACGCUGGCGGCGUGCCUAAUACAUGCAAGUCGAGCGAACAGACGAGGAUCUUGCUCCUUUGACGUUAGCGGCGGACGGGUGAGUAACACGUGUAUAACCUACCUAUAAGACUGGUAUAACUUCGGGAAACCGGAGCUAAUACCGGAUAACAUGUUGAACCGCAUGGUUCAACAGUGAAAUACGGUCUUGCUGGCACUUAUAGAGGCAUCCGCGCCGCAUUAGCUAGUUGGUAAGGUAACGGCUUACCAAGGCAACGAUGCGUAGCCGACCUGAGAGGGUGAUAGGCCACACUGGAACUGAGCCACGGUCCAGACUACUGCGGGACGCAGCAGUAGGGAAUCUUCCGCAAUGGGCGAAAGCAUGACGGAGCAACGCCGAGUGAGUGAAGACGGUCUUCGGAUCGUAAAAAUCUGUUAUUAGGGAAGAACAAAUGUGUAAGUAACUAUGCACGUCUUGACGGUAACUAAUCAGAAAGCCACGGCUAACUACGUG
rnacentral:rRNA from 1 species